GAUGAACGCUGGCGGCGUGCCUAAUACAUGCAAGUCGAGCGAACGGACGAGAAGCUUGCUUCUCUGAUGUUAGCGGCGGACGGGUGAGUAACACGUGGAUAACCUACCUAUAAGACUGGGAUAACUUCGGGAAACCGGAGCUAAUACCGGAUAAUAUUUUGAACCGCAUGGUUCAAAAGUGAAAGACGGUCUUGCUGUCACUUAUAGAUGGAUCCGCGCUGCAUUAGCUAGUUGGUAAGGUAACGGCUUACCAAGGCAACGAUGCAUAGCCGACCUGAGAGGGUGAUCGGCCACACUGGAACUGAGACACGGUCCAGACUCCUACGGGAGGCAGCAGUAGGGAAUCUUCCGCAAUGGGCGAAAGCCUGACGGAGCAACGCCGCGUGAGUGAUGAAGGUCUUCGGAUCGUAAAACUCUGUUAUUAGGGAAGAACAUAUGUGUAAGUAACUGUGCACAUCUUGACGGUACCUAAUCAGAAAGCCACGGCUAACUACGUGCCAGCAGCCGCGGUAAUACGUAGGUGGCAAGCGUUAUCCGGAAUUAUUGGGCGUAAAGCGCGCGUAGGCGGUUUUUUAAGUCUGAUGUGAAAGCCCACGGCUCAACCGUGGAGGGUCAUUGGAAACUGGAAAACUUGAGUGCAGAAGAGGAAAGUGGAAUUCCAUGUGUAGCGGUGAAAUGCGCAGAGAUAUGGAGAAACACCAGUGGCGAAGGCGACUUUCUGGUCUGUAACUGACGCUGAUGUGCGAAAGCGUGGGGAUCAAACAGGAUUAGAUACCCUGGUAGUCCACGCCGUAAACGAUGAGUGCUAAGUGUUAGGGGGUUUCCGCCCCUUAGUGCUGCAGCUAACGCAUUAAGCACUCCGCCUGGGGAGUACGACCGCAAGGUUGAAACUCAAAGGAAUUGACGGGGACCCGCACAAGCGGUGGAGCAUGUGGUUUAAUUCGAAGCAACGCGAAGAACCUUACCAAAUCUUGACAUCCUUUGACAACUCUAGAGAUAGAGCCUUCCCCUUCGGGGGACAAAGUGACAGGUGGUGCAUGGUUGUCGUCAGCUCGUGUCGUGAGAUGUUGGGUUAAGUCCCGCAACGAGCGCAACCCUUAAGCUUAGUUGCCAUCAUUAAGUUGGGCACUCUAAGUUGACUGCCGGUGACAAACCGGAGGAAGGUGGGGAUGACGUCAAAUCAUCAUGCCCCUUAUGAUUUGGGCUACACACGUGCUACAAUGGACAAUACAAAGGGCAGCGAAACCGCGAGGUCAAGCAAAUCCCAUAAAGUUGUUCUCAGUUCGGAUUGUAGUCUGCAACUCGACUACAUGAAGCUGGAAUCGCUAGUAAUCGUAGAUCAGCAUGCUACGGUGAAUACGUUCCCGGGUCU
rnacentral:rRNA from 1 species